GUGCUCGCUUCAGCAGCACAUAUACUAAGAAAUUGGAAUGAUACAGAGAUCAGCAUGGCCCCUGCACAAGGAUGACACGCUAAUUCAUGAAGAGUUCCAUAUUUAA